rnacentral:rRNA from 1 species
UACAGAGGGUGCAAGCGUUGUUCGGAAUUAUUGGGCGUAAAGCGCGUGUAGGCGGCGUGACAAGUCGGGUGUGAAAGCCCUCAGCUCAACUGAGGAAGUGCGCCCGAAACUGUCGUGCUUGAGUGCCGGAGAGGGUGGCGGAAUUCCCCAAGUAGAGGUGAAAUUCGUAGAUAUGGGGAGGAACACCGGUGGCGAAGGCGGCCACCUGGACGGUAACUGACGCUGAGGCGCGAAAGCCAGGGGAGCAAACGGG